GUCAAUGGAGGAGACGUAUUCCGGCCCUGCUCCGACAGCGGGAGAGGAGGAAGUCGGGGGUGGACACCAUGAAUCGUCUAAUCCUACUGUUGCCUCAAGAGGUCGUCAGCAACCACCCACAAGGCGCCGGGGAGCACGCGGCGGUCGGGGACGUGGUUCAAGGGCCUCUGCCAGAACGGAUGAGGAGGAAUUAUCCGGUUUCUAUAUAGACAAUGAACUCCUCAUCCAUCUGGUGGAGGAACGCGUCCCACUCUGGGACCAUACCGACCGCCG